ACCUGGGUGGCUCAGUCGGUUGAGCAUCCGACUUCGGCUCAGGUCAUGAUCUCAUGUUUUGUGGGUUCCAGCCCCACAUCAGGUU
rnacentral:tRNA from 1 species